UACGUAGGGUGCGAGCGUUGUCCGGAAUUAUUGGGCGUAAAGAGCUCGUAGGCGGUCUGUCGCGUCGAUCGUGAAAACUUGGGGCUUAACCCUGAGCUUGCGGUCGAUACGGGCAUGACUGGAGUUCGGCAGGGGAGACUGGAAUUCCUGGUGUAGCGGUGAAAUGCGCAGAUAUCAGGAGGAACACCGGUGGCGAAGGCGGCUCACUGGCCCGGUACUGACGCUGAGGUGCGAAAGCGUGGGGAGCAAACAGG
rnacentral:rRNA from 1 species